rnacentral:rRNA from 1 species
GACGAACGCUGGCGGCGUGCUUAACACAUGCAAGUCGAACGAAGUGGCGAACGGGUGAGUAACGCGUACUCAACCUGCCCUUCAGCGGGGGACAACAGUUGGAAACGACUGCUAAUACCGCAUACUGAAGUCGGGGAUUGCGUCUGAUUCGCUAUUUGGAGGGGUAACGGGCCACCAAGGCGAUGAUCAGUAGCCGGUCUGAGAGGAUGAACGGCAAAAUUGGGACUGAGACAGGGCCCAGAGUCGUAGGGGAGGCAGCAGUGGGGAAUCUUCCGCAAUGGAAGAAAGUCUGACGGGGCAACGCCGCGUGAGUGAUGACGGCCUUCGGGUUGAAAAGCUCUGUUAAUCGGGACGCGGUACCGGAAUAGAAAGCCACGGCUAACUACGUGCCAGCAGCCGCGGUAAUAG